CGGGCAAGGAAGGUCGCGUGCCGGCCGGCCCCGCGGCGCAUGCGCGGGAGGCCUGCUUCCGCCGCGCGAGGGGCGGGGUGGGGGCAGCGCGGAGGUGGCGCUCCCGCCCGGGGGCGGCGGCACGUCGGGGCCUCGCGCUGCGGGGGCGGCGCCUCGGCACGGCCGGGCCUGCCCGGGCCUCCGUCCCCUUCACACCACCCCCCCACCACGUUCCGUGUGAGGGUUUCAGGCUGCCGGCGGGGGGAAACGGGCGUCCUGCCUCCCUGUGGCGGCUUGUCGGUGCCUCUCGGGGACCCGCCGGUGCUUCCCGGCGCCGUGCCUCUGCCGGGGCGGGGCGGGGGAGGGGGGGCUUAGUCCUUGGGGCCGCAGCCGUGCUGCUCAAAGUUAGCGAGAGCUUCCUCCUGCCGGCGCACAGGCUCGGCCCCCGGUCGGAAGUUUUUUUGUUUGUUUGUUUUUUCAGGGCUGACUCGGGCGUCCGGUAACACCACCUGACGGGCUCGCUGUGCUCGCACCCCUGUUCACAAGCUUUGCGGGCGUAGCUGCUGGCUCCUGAGGGGCCCAGCGAUGCCUUUAGUUAACCCCCCGAGCUGUGCAGACCAGAACGCCGCCUUGUCGGUGUGGUGGGUUUUGCUCAAGACUGGAGGAAAAUUUGAAGCUGCGUCUCCAGGAGGAGGAUUGUCGAUAGACUGGCAAAGCUGGUUUUAGCAGAAACAGCGUUUGGGUUCUGCUCUGGUUGUUCCUUAAGUUUAAUGUAUUUUGUUGCUGUAUCUUGCGUUAGGACAUUGAAGUUUCAGUUGUAGGUCGAAUAGUACCGGAAAUUAGGUGACUAUCUUUUUGUAGCUUUAAUGUGUGUAAGGCAUCUGCCAUUAUUCUAGGAAGUUUGAGGGGCAUAAUAUAAUGCGGUAAGGUCCCAUUAGAAGCUUGUCAAAUGACUAUCAUGACUUGUGCCAUAUAAAGAAUUUUUCAGAGAGAAGAAGCAAUCCUGUGGAUUUUAGAAAACCUGUGACAAGCGUACCGCUGAUUUAUUUUUAGCUAGCUUCUCCAGUCCUAAAAAAUUGAAGCCUUCCACAAAAAAGGAAAGUAUUUUUCUAUCUUUUAGAAUUUUAUGAGUUUUUUAUUACCAACUAAUUAAAUGUGUUUCAGAUUCUCACAAAAGACUAGAAUCAAAUCAAGUGUGUUUCAUUCCUGCUAAACAAAUUAGUACAAAUGUAAGGCAAGAAGCCAGAUCUUAGAUUUGCAGAAGUCUUGGAGAUAACAGCCCUCUUAUGUUUAAUGUAGUUUUUCUUCUGUGUGGGGUGGGUUGGUUGGUUUGUUUGUGUGUUUUUUUUACAUAGUUUCAACAGAAAGAGGAAGAAUUGUCUGCAUUUUCUUACCUUGUUUUAUUUUCUUGUUUUAUCUUUCAUAUCUUGUUUUAUUUUUCUUUCUCCAGCAUUUGCCAUCCCGGGUUUAAAUAGAGUCGUAGGAGGGAGUACUUGUGGAAUUUUGCUGUCACAUCAGAAGGAUUCCACUUGCAUUUAGCAGCUGCUGCAAUUUUACUGCCUCUUGUUGGAGGUCACCAAACCCACGGCAGAACUGGCAUCUCCCCAUCUGUUUGAUGGCAAAGUAUGACAUCUUCGUUCAACCCCCACCCUGCACUGGUGUUUUAAACUGAGAUACUGACUUUGCAUUUGAAGUAGCUGACAAAUGAACGUGUCCUCUUCUGCUGGCCCUGCUAUAGCAAUGGUUACUUCUGUCAGAUGAGUAAAGCAAAUGGCCAGAGUCAGCAGUAUCUUACAGUGAAGCUUGAUGUGUUUGUUAAAAUUUAAACUAUGAUUUUUGUAGGAAAAAAACCCCAAAUCUCUAGUUUAAAUACAGGUUUAUAAUGCCCUCCCUAGGAUGUUGUAUGUACUGUUUCUGCUCUCUCCUUUCCUUACCCAGUUCUGUUCUUCAGCACAUCUCCUUUCCCCAGCCUGUCCUUUUUCAUACUGCUGUUCUUUCGCCCUUCUCUGUCAUUGGCACCUGGGCAUAUUCUUACAUGUUUCUUCUUGCCUAGGCAUGUUCUUGCUCUUUCAUGUGAGUUAGGUCACUCCGUUUCUGUCCUCAGCACUCCUGGAUGAUGGCAAGAAAGAGCCCAGAGCAUGGUAGGGCAUUUCUUCUCUCUUGCCCAAUUUAAAAAAAAAAACAACACUAUUUGUAAGUUUUGUUCAGCAGAGAGGACUUUUCGGUGAUCUUGCUGUUAGCCUCUUAACAACAUAUGACUUCAGAGUUUUCUGACACUGAAUGCUAUUAGGGCAGUAAAAAUGCACUCUUAACCUCAGAUGGAUAUACAGAAAAGUUCAAAUCACUGUUCAAAAGCACUGGAGCUUUCUAAUUAAACAUGUCUAGUAUUUCUUCUUUUGGCAAAAUAAUAUGCUGCUUGGGUCUUGUCCUCAUAGGUUGCACUCCUUUUGCUUUGACUCAAAGUAAGGAUGUAACGGUUACUAAAAGUUUUGCUGUCUACUCCCCCUGCGCCCCCAUACUGUCACAAAGCGUUAAACGGGAAAUUUAGAUAUCCUUUAUAAGAGAAAAACCCUUCAAUUAUCUUGCCCUCCUCCUACAACAAACAUACUAGACUUACUUUUCAAGAUGUGGCCUAAAUGUUUUUAAGGCAACAAGAAAGGAUGGGUUUGUGGUUGAGGCAGAUGACUUGCAUUAAGCUUUAAAUUCUGGUACUGGCAAAUUCUGCUAGUCAUUUAGGAUUAAAACUCAUAAAGGAUUAGACGUUUGCCUGCUUGGUUCUGCUGAUUGCCCACCCAGAAUUGCAGUCUAGAGCCCCAGGUGAGUUUUGGGAUCCAGAAGGGAUCCUGGCAGGAGAGCCCUUGUUGACUAUUAGCUGAUAUUCUCAUCUGGGUCUCUCCAAGAUCCAUUUUAGCUCUGCUGCUCUCAAGUUCUACAUGGUGGCUGAUAAAACUUGCUGUAGCAGGCUUGUCUUGUCAGCUGUGCUUAUUGCCUGGACCCAGCGUAUGCCCUGUCACUGCAGGUGUUACAUGUGUGUGGCUGGGCCUAGAAGUUAGCCUUCUUAACAGAAACUGGUUUUUUUGAAACUCUAGGCUUGAGAUUUAGCUGGAAGAUGUAACUCGGUGUUACCUUUGGCUUAGGUUCCCUGAAGCUGACAAACAGGAAUUGAAUGAGAGGUAAUAAUUCUUUAAUUAUAAAUCUUUGAAGUAUUUUGCAAUCCAGAUAAGACGACUUACCUGAUGGAUGUGUUGCCUCCGUUCAGCUAAAUGUUAAUAGAACUACCAAAUAGGAAAAAGAGCGAAAUUUACACAGUAUUUUCCACUAACAGCAAUUGAUUACUAUUUUAGACUACACAGGUACGUGUUUUCUAAAUGUAAGUUCUACCAAAGUUAAAUAAAGAUCCUUUGUAACUUAAAGCUCUAAGCAGAUACAAGAUUUUUCUUUUGUGCCAAUGGUAUUAUGAUUUGUGAAUGCAAUUGUUUUUUUUUUUUUUGGUCUAGGCUCUCAGGGAAAUAGGGAAGUUAUCGAAAUGUGUUCAGACUUCAAUACAUUUCAUCUCUGUUGCCUAGGAAUUACGACUUUUUGAUACACGAUGGAUUGCACUAAACUGCUUGAAAUUAUGCAAACCCAGCUUUGUAGUUAGCCACAGGAAGUAUUUUUAAAUUGUAUCUGAAAAGUUCUAAUAUUGAAGAUAAAUAUUUUUUUUUUUGUAAAUUAACGCAGCUGAUAGUUGAUUUAAAAAAGGAAGUUUUAUUGUUCAGAAUACACACGCUGUGUUUCUGAGUUCAGGAACUGCAUGAUCUUUUUCACAUCUCAGUGUUUCCCUUUUCUGUUUAGCUACAGAGCAAUGCCAUGUGCUAAAAUUGCAUUGUGAAAGCUAAAACCUUGAUGGUCUGUGUUAAAGAGAUAAGGAAGAACAUGUACCUUUUGAAGGGGAGUGCCGGUUUCUUUAAACUGAGUGCCUAGCUGAUAACACUGUUUGCUUUUGGUAGCCUACUUGGUCCAGAUAGGCUUUUCAGUGCUAGAUAAUCUUUUGAGCAGAGCCAAUCCCAAUUUCUGAGUAAUUUGUUUAAUAAAUAGAAAAAAGGAAAAAAACCCUACAUCAAGACCUCGGAGCUCUGUAUUUUGAAUCUAUUUGCAUGUGGGCAAAAGCAGUUUUGCUUUCUUGUUUUUGGGGCUGCUUGAUGAGUAUUCUUCACUCAUACAAAGGACCGUAUGUCUGUUUCCUUUACUGAACUUGUGAAGGAGAAGUCACUUUGGCAACAAACAAGGAAAGAAGUGUCAUUCUCAGGCAGUCAUAACAGGAGAAAGGUAAUAGUUAGUUACUUCAUAAUGUGCCUGAAGCAAACAAAGCAACAGGUUUGUGUGGUGGGAUUGUUUUCUUCAAGGCCAAGUGCAGCUGAGGGAAUGAGAAGGUGCUGAGGUGAGUUUGGUCAGGAUUAUUGCAGCACUUUUCCCCUCAUAUCUCCUCAAGAGUAUACUCUGUCUCCCCCUCCUCAGUCUAAGAACUGGCUAAGUGGUGAGCCUUGGGAGAUGCUAUCAGCGUUGGAAAGAUGGAUGGGCAGAGGAAGGGGUCCUGAAGCGGGAUCUGGAGCUGGGUGCGGAGCUGCUCUGGGAAGGCUCUGUCUGGAGGAGAGGGACACUGCAGUGCAGGAGCUGGGGGAGUCUGUGCCUGGCUGUCACCAGCUGCCCUGCGGGACAGGCUCAACUGCUCUGGGUCUCCUGCUGGUUCUCGUCUCUCACCCUUUCUUCCUUCCCUGAGAGUGAGCUUUGUGCUGCUCCAUCCCUGUCCCUAAUACAGCCACCUCCUCUGCUCCGUUUCACUGGCCGCCUCUGCCAGAUGCAGUCCACCCCCCUCGCUUAGAAACCGCAAAAUUAAGGUAUUGUGAAAAGCAGAUUAGUGUUUCUUUCUCCCCCUGCAGUUUACUAGCUAGAAUCAGCAUUGCUUAACUCUGAGGCUUGCUCCCUUCAUCAGUAGCUACAGUAUUUCUUCCUUAAGAGCCAAAGUACUUCAAGCAAAAACAUUUGAGUAUCAUGCUGCUGUUCCUGAGUGUCCCUGAAGUGCCACACAGUGACUGGUAAGUGUUGUAUACUUGACGAAACAGAGUUAUUACCAUAUUUCUAUGCAAACACCUAGAUUAUGACAAAUUGUAGACUGUUAAAGAUGGAGAAUUGUGGGGAGAAAAAAAAGAGACCAGAAGGAAGCAUGGUAAGUGUCCUAGUCCAUUCUUUCCCCAAGUGAGAACACUAUCAUCCCGACCGAGUUUUUUCAAGCUUUUUCGUAGAAAUCCUCCAAGGAUGGCAGCACAGUAAUCUCUAAGGCAGUCUAUUCUGGGGCCUUACUUUCCUUAACUUGGAAAUUAUUUUCCUAAUAUCUGACCCAAGUUCCCAUUUUUGCAGUUCCUUCUUGUUGUAUCCCCAGUGGAAGCGCAGAAUGUUGUUUUUCUUUGCUUUUCUUUUUUUUUCCCCUGACUACUUUUCUCCUAACAAAGCCAUGUCUCUCUUGCAGGGUAUGCAUUGGAAAGUGUUCAUACUGGUCUUGUGGUGCUGGCUCAGUGAGUGGGUCAGAAUGGAGUGAGCUCUGGCACAAACAGGUAGUCUGUUUUGGAUGGGUAUUGCUGAAUUAGCACGUAUACGUGAUAGUGAUUUUUGCGCCAGUACGUGCCAGUCUGCCUGCCGCUCCCUGUUCCAGAGCAAGCUCCUAUUGCUCUGCCACGUGCACACUGCGUGCAUGAUGGGGUGCCAGCCCUUUUGUGUUGUGGGGGUUUUGUGUGUAUAUUCCCUUUGCAAAAGACUGAUGGUAGUAGCAUAAGUGUGUUGCCUGAGAGAAAAUGUGGACCUUCACUGGACCAGCUGCAGUUCAUUCAUUUGCCAGGAGAACUGGAAGGACCAAAUUGCAAAGGAUGCUUUGGCCAGUUUCUUUUAUGUAAAGUCCUUUAGCAGUUCACUAUGACUUCAGAUUGCCUGAAUGCAGGACAUAUUUCUGUGUUUCUUACUCCAUGGAUGAUGCUUUUCCCCUAAACUUUUCUCACAGGUCUCAGUCCGGGCCCUUUAACCAUUUUAUCGUAGUCCUGCUGCCUUUGAAUCAGUGGCCUGGCAUCUUCUAACCCAGUGCUGAAACCCUGCUGGUUCUGAAAUGUCAGCCUGCAGUUCCUCUAGCGCAGCCCUGCAGGCCCUGGCAGCCUGUAACUAAUUACCUCAAUUCACAUGGUGGGCCAAUGAAAAGUGCAAGGACUGUUUGAAAAUGAAGUACAAAGAGGAAAAACAAAAGGCAAAAGGAAACUGAAGUAGAAUAUGAUUCACAGACCUGCAUGAAACUGAGCCAGGGAGAGGACAGAGGCAGGCAGGGUGGCUGCCACGGUGGCAGGGCUGGACUGGUCUCUGCAGGGCCGCGCAAGUGCCUCCUGCAGCCUGGUACUGCCGUGCUGGGGGUGGGUCUGCAGUGGCAGCGUGGCAUGGGAAGGAUGCCUGCUGAGGAAGCCUUGUGCAGGGUGUGGAGACGCAGCUCAUGCACAACGUGAGGAGUUGGCUGGUGACGAUAAGCCCUUAUGGGACCCUCAAAAUGAGGGUCAUACUUGAAUGAGCUCCCGUUGAGUCUGUGCUGGCUUGAUUGGAUGCUCACUCCUCACCUUGGUCCAUGCCUAUCGGCUCCAAAAUGCUGCACCCACCUAAGGACCUUGCAGAUCUGCUUGCCAGGUUCCCUUCUCCCACUGCCAGCACAAUUUCUGUGCUGUGCUCACCUUUCCAGGGUGACUUGAAACUGUUGCCUCAGUUGCUGGAGGGUCUGGGCAAACAUCUUCUGGAGGAGUUGGACACAAGACCUGAGAUCUGAGGCAGGAAAAGACCUGCAUAUAGCAGAGAGAAGGUAGCAAACAGGAUUGAAAGGAUCUGUGUUUGAAGCUGGUGACACUGAGGAUAAAGGGAGAGGUGGAGACCAAAAAGGAACAGAUGACAAAACCUCCAAGGUAGCUGUACAAGGUGCCAUGAAACCCUGGCCUGGACACAUGGACCUGCAUAAAGCCCUGCUAGUAUGAAGUAAAACCAUCACAACUGGACAAAUGUGAUCCACCAUGAGUUUAUAUCAUUCCCAUCUGCUGAGCUUGGCCUGACCCUGAACAAGGUGACAUAUUUCAGAUUACCAGAGCUCCCAAGUAACUGUCCGUCAGCUGAACCGUCAGUUGGGACUGAUCUGCUGCUCAUGCCACCGGUGCUGUGUGCUAGUCUGAGACCCACAAGAAGGUAGGAGCCCAUUGCAACCACUCUGGAAUACCAGGCUGGGUCUGGGGGUCCAUGUGGGUCCCGUAUCAUGAGGGUCAUGCAAUGAAGUACUCAUAUACAUCCAUGUCUCCAACUUAUUUGAAAAAAUAUGCAAGCAAUAGGAUGGUGCAUAGGCCAUUUCCUUCACUGUCCUCCAUAAACAUAGUUACACUCUUAAUGAAGCCCUCCCAAUAGAAAUUAAUAGAUGAUACCCUCCAUUCCCAGCUUUGGUGUGAGAGCCAGCCCACAGAGGCUCUCCUGGCUCUCCUCUUGCCUUUCUUUAGUCCAAUAUUGUCAUAAUGGCACAAAGCCUUUCUUCCAGCUGUGAACAGGGAUUAUCGUAGCCAAAGCUGCAUUUUACACCAUCAUCUCAAGUAUCAGGACAACCAGCUAAGAACAAUUACUUUCUCCACCUCCGGGCUCUUCCCCUUGUGCUUUUCAGUUAGUUGCACUGAGAAAAUCUGCGUUUCCUAACAAAAGAGCCUUGUUCUCCACUGCUAUUUCAACUAGGAUCGAGUGUCAGUGGUACGCCUGCCUGCUGCGUCCCCUGCAAGUGCUCGGCUCGGGGCCUGCCCUGCCGGAGCAUGGGGUCAGAGAGCUGAUGGGGAUUUUCCCUCUAGCUGCUAUCCCUCCCCUCGUACGUCACCGUGAAUGGGAGCCAGAAAGAGGUGGCCAGAAGCAGCGGUGCCAAGAUGCAACUCCCAGGCAUUACCACUGCUGCUAUUUAUAAUUUCUCCUGUCUGUGGCAUGUUGAUGAGAUAAUAGGAUAGCCGUUUUGCUAGGCAAGCUGUAUUUUUUUUUUUUUUUACCACCGAUAUCUCUUGCUUUGUCAUCAUUUCCUUGCUUUAACAGGAAUCCCCCUUUUUUCAUGAAAUGCCUCACUAAUUCCUAUAAAUAAGAAGGGUGAGGCACAUAUUGGAGCAACUUAAAAUGUUUGCAGUGAAAAGCAGUGUUACAGACCAGAGGUGUACGGACUGGGAGCUGCCCACGACUCACCACGUCAUCACUCUGAAGAGCCAUAUCCAGUGAUGGCAGUAUUUGCAAUUUGAUGGCUCCUCCUUCAUGGGUUGCUGGUGGCCUGAUCCGGAGGGUGCUGGCCCCUUACGCUGACUUCUGCGGGAAUCUUCAUGUGCUUUAUACGGGGCACAUUGUCACUUUGCUGGACAGGGGCUGGAGCGCUCGGUGCGCUGUAUGACAGAGCCUGCCAGGUAGACCUGUCUAGUCAUUAGUUUCUCUGGCAGCAACAGAGAUCAAAACAUUUCUCUAAAAUCCAGUAACAAUCUGGAAGGGAAUGAGAUCCUAUCUGCAGGAGCUUGCCUGGAGAGCUGAAUGGAGAAUUACAGCCCUGUGAAACCAUUUACAGAAGGUGGUGUAUCUCCUAACUGGUGCUUCAGAUUCAAAACCUUAAGAAGAGAGAGGUAAACAGUGAGCCAACGGAUAUUCAGAAGAGGACCAUCCACUGAGGACAAGGAGAGAGGGCAGUCCUGAAAAAUGAGGUCACUGGGAGUGUGCCUAUAUUCAUGCAAGGUCUGUUGCUGAGCCUGAAGCUGUUCCAGUCUGUCACUCUGCCCCAAAACACUGCCUUCUCUUUUGAAAAGCAGAACUAUAAAUUACAGGUGGGCUUGAACCAGAAGCCGGGAUCUCAAAAAUAGCGUAUGUUUCUGGAAACAUCUCAUUCAUGACCAAAAUUUGCUGCUACUCCCUGCUUCACAGUAUCUCAGGACUGAACGUGUGAGGAUGGGCUCAGCUUCCCCCAAAGUUCAAGCUGUGUGGAUCUGGAGACCACUCUUAUUUCACCUGUACAACUACUACUUUAGCCUGAGUCUAACCCAUGUUUGUUUGACAGGCUGAAUUCAAGCUGCUGGUUACAAGCCUACAUCCCAAGAGGUCCUUUCUCUUGGAAGCUGCAGAAUCCUCCCUGCAGACCUGGGCAGCUUGUCCCCCCAAAACAACGUGGGGUGGAAAGUCAUAUUUGGGGUAUGCGACUUAAAAGGGACUUUAAGAAAGUUGUCUCUCCCAACGUUUUGUCCUGUGAUGUCUUGUACCAUGUAGGUGACCACAGCAGUCCAGGACGGCUUAUUUUAUGUGAAAAAGCUGAUUGCUCCUUCCUUGAGCUCUCCUUCAUGCUCCACUUUUUAGACAGUUAAUUGCCAUCCCCAUUCUGUGAGCAGCAAAUCGAUGGCACACAGAUCUCAGAUCACAGCAUUUACUGCUUCUCUGGCUUCCUCCCUGCUGCUUCGCACGCUUCAGAGGUUUUAAAAAGAAGGUAACAGGAGAACAGGGAAGGUUGUCCAGAACUGCUGAUCUCCUUUUGCUGAUCUCAAAAUGGUCAUGUCCUGCAACCCUCAUGGAGAAAGGGAGAAUGCCGCCGCACCUUUUAACUCACUUUAUUUUCCUGGCAGUGCUGCCCCUCUGCUCAGGGGGGGCUGAGGUCUCUUGGGGUCCUGCCAUCCCUGUUCUUGUGGCACAGGGUGGGGGGGUGCUCUUUUUUCUGUGUUAAAAUGCGCAAGAUGAGGGCACCUGAGGACAGCUUCACCUCUAAACCAUAUAGAGCCCUGGAGGGAUGUCCAAGAUUGCUCCCAGUUGGAUGGGAAUAACUGAACUAAGCCUCAGCCUGCUCCCACCAGCCCAGUGGUUCAUCCCCCAGCCAUGUCCCCUCUCUCCGCAGGCUGCCAGUGGCACACAGGGUGGCCGUGUCCCCCGAGCCGGAGCUGGGCUGGGUGUGAGGCAGAGGAGAGGCCGGCGUUGCCGCUGCCGUGGCAGGGUUUCUGGCUGGCUGGAGCUGCCUUUCGAGGGCUGCCAGCUGCACGUGCCCCGUACCGCACUGCCAGGGAGGAGAGGGGAGGAGAGGUGCGGGAGUAUGGCAGCCGUCCCCGUGCACCGCGCUGUGGGUGCCGGGGGGGCCACCACGUUCAUGCCCGUAAUCCCACUACCAGCUCAUGGCCGGUAACUGAAUAACCCCAAGUCAAUUUUUUAACUUUCCCAGCACAAGCUCCUUUUUCAGCAAGAUGACGUGGCCUCCUGGGAGGCUCAGGCACUGACGAAGCAGCCGUCUUGCUGGAUUUCCCCCGCUGCUGCUGACGAAAACCACGGCUUCCUUCCCCGGUGGUGGGUAGGUGCCUCCGGCCCCCUCCCCACCCUCUUCCUUGGGGCAGCCGAGCACCUGUCAUCCUCCCCAGUGCCCCUCCAGCCCCUGGUAGAAAUAACAGGUCCCCAUACCAUUUGCAUUCUCCCGAUCCCUCGCACUGCUCAGGGGAAGGACGAUGGAAAAAGCUGUCCCAGGUGGUAGGUGCUAAACGCACUGAGAGGCCUCAGUGCAGCGCGAGGUCGGGGAAGAGGGUUUCAAGGCUCUUGACAGCAUGCGGCCAUCACACCCGAGCGGCACUUGGGCACUGUCACCGUCGGUCCCACUGUGGGCAGAGAUGUCAGAGCGAUUGGUAGGCACGCGGCUGCCCUCCAUCUCACUUAAAUGCUGAUUUCAUGUUAUGCUGGGGAGCAUAACUGGCUGCUUUUUGAAAGGAUGCUAAUGGCUUUCUGAAAGCAAAUGUUACAUGUGCUCUGUCGAGACAGAGCAGUGCUGCCUUGCUUCUUCUGAGUGGGGGGUGACCCCAAUCAAUAAUUGGCACUGAUUAACCAGGAGGAAGAGGAAAGCUGGCUCAAGUAACAUAACCCUGCUCCCUGAGUACUGGAGCAGAGUGCUUCAGGUCAUGGUGCUCCUCAAUCACAGCCUCAGACACAUGGGGUAAAGCCGUUCCCGGCUGCUUUUAAGUAGGGAGUAAGUGUGAGAGCAUCAGGGCUGGGUGGGGGGUGCUCUGGGGGAGGACGGGAUGGGGAGCAGGGCUGGGGGGGCAGGGUCGGGCAGUGGGACACGGUCGGUGAGACACGGUCACUCCACGGGGAGCUGGCUUGCAGGGCUGCCUUUGGCACAUACCUUAACUCAGUGCUCCCCGGUUCUCAGACAUUUGCACUUUAUUACUUUAAUUCCUCGUUUCCUGGUUUUCAGCAGUCUGACCUGCACAGCGGCGAAGGCAGCACUGCAGCAGCCCCAGGUUUGCUUGGCUGUUUUCGGUGAAGCAUUGCAAACAGAGCCCAGUGCUGCAGUGCAAAACCACAGAGGCUCCUCCGACCACGAGUGCUCAGCCCGGCUCCCAGAAAUCUGAGUUGCCUCUGCAGGUCCAGCCCCAUCUGUUGAGAGGCAUCGGAUCCGCUUUGUGAUAGACUAAGGGCUGGGUAUGCGGUUUUAUUCAGCAGGGAGCUCUGGUGUGUUUUAUCCAGUUGAGAUCGACGGCGUUGCUGGUGGGAAGCGCUGGCUGCGUGGGGGAAUGGGACUUGUACGCACUCUAAAGAGGCUUAUGAAGGAAUAUAGGCAAAUCUUCUGCCCGCCCCAACUGAGAGGCCUUUGAGAGCCCAGUUUUCACCCUUUUUUGGUUGUUCCAGGGCUGGAGUUUUUAAUACAGUAUUUUGUCACUUCAUUAUUCGUAGGAGCAAGACGUAAGGGUACUCUUGAACUCAGAGAGACUUCUAAGCCUUACCUGCAGCAGAAGCCACCUGUACCCAGCACCUCGGCAGAGGCAGCCUGAGACGGCCCCGCGCAGCCCUUCCCCAGCACGCCGGGGGCAAGGCUGCUCGGGGAGAGCUGGGAAGAACAACACGGUGUAUUUGCUGCAGUAUUUUAAGCACAAAGAGAUACCAGGCUAUGAUUAUCUUCCAUAAGGAUGUGAACAGGUGAAACACGGUGUAAUUUAUGAUUCUUAUCUUAACAUUGCGAUGCAUGAGCUGCUAAGGUGGCUGAGGAUUGAGCGUCAGCAGCAGCCUGCAGGUUGGAUUGCAGCAGGCAUCAAAGUCUGAGGGAUGCUCAAGGGCAGGUUCCUCUUGUUCCUCAGAUCUGCACGGCAUUUGGUGAGGUUUAUGUGGAGAUGAACGUCUCACCCACUGUUUUCAGUGGGAGAGCUUGCCCCGGGCUUCCCUGGGAGCGUCAUGGGGAGGUGUGGGUGGGGACCGAGAGCAGGUCGCGAAACAAUCCUCGCACUGCCGUGUGUGCCUCUGUCAGCCUAAUGAAAGCCUAAUAAUUAGGAUUGCCAUUCUCUUUAUUUUUAAUUAUGAGGUAGCGCUUUAUUUUAGAGGGCAAAAGUUACCCUGUAAUUACCUUGUACGAUUACUCAGUUAUUAGCUGGUCUCUGACACUGCAGACACCCGGGAGAGCCCUUGGCAGGGGCUACGUGGGCUGGACGGGACGCCUGGCAAACCGUCCCAUCCUUUUACCCAGACCACGCGCAGACCCCGCGGGGACAAGGACAGCACGAGGCUCCGAGCACGAGCGGACGACCCCUGGCAGCGCGGCACAGCCGCCCAGGAGCCUUUGGCUCCGCUUCCGCGGGCUGCUGAGGCCUCGCCAUCCCGCCUCCCCGGCGCACCCAGCCCGGCUGCUUUCACCGGCGCGGGCACGGACCGGGUCUGCCGGCUCCGAGCGCCGACCGCGGGAGCGGCCUCGCGCCGUAGGGCCUCGCUGAGCACCGCGGCGCACAGCAAUAUGCAAACCGUUGAGCGGCAUCAGCCAAGAAAUUGAUGUGUUUUAAACGAGGAAGAGCGAGCGGAGGAGCGCAGAAGGCUGCUGUGGACGGCCCUGUGCUCCGCAGCCCUGCGGCCCCAGCCUGUGCAGGUACACAGGGCUGUUCCUCCCCAGGGGCAGGAGGUGGCAUUGCCUCAGCCCAGGCAGGUCGCAGCCCUGCCUGCCUCGCUCGGACCUGAAGGACCGAAGGGUUGAUGUGGUCACUGCAGCGAGAGCCAUCGGGGGCUUCCCUGGGCGCGAGGGAGGGGAGCGGUGCGUCGGUGCGGGGAGCCGCUCGGCAGCCACCCAGCUG